AUUAACGCUGGCGGCGUGCCUUAGGCAUGCAAGUCGAGCGGACCCCGCAAGGGGUCAGCGGCAGACGGGUGAGUAAUAGUAAGGAAUCUACUUCAAAGUGGAGGACAUCUCGUCGAAAGACGGGGUAAUCCUGCAUGUGAUCGCAAGAUGAAAGAGCUUAACUGCUCGCUUUGAGAGGAGCCUUACUCCUAUCAGCUAGUUGGUGGGGUAACGGCCUACCAAGGCUAUGACGGGUAACUGGUGUGAGAGCACGACCAGUCACAAUGGCACUGAGAUACGGGCCAUACACCUACGGGUGGCAGCAACCGGGAAUUGUCGACAAUGGACGAAAGUCUGAUCGCGCGACGCCGCGUGAGGGAUGAAGUAUUUCGGUAUGUAAACCUCUUUUGAUCCCGAAUCGAUCGGGAUAGAAUAAGCGCCUACUAACUACGU
rnacentral:rRNA from 1 species